AUGUCCACCGUUGACUCGUGGCACUUCUAUGCCAAGCUCGCCCGCCAAUUCAUGAAGGGCUGGGGCGCUAACCUUGGUCGUGACCUCCGCGAGCGCAAAAGGGCCCUCCUGCUGGCUAUUCAAGCCUUGGACGCCCGGGCCGACACCUUCGGAAUCUCCCCGGAUGAGUGGAUGCUGAGAUAUGAUCUUGAGGAUCAACUCUUAACCAUCUACACGGAUGAGGAGGCUUACUGGAGGUUGUGCGGUACCCAAAGAUGGGUGCUUCGUGGCGAUGCGAACACCGCAUAUUUCCAGGCGGUAGCGAACGGCCGGCGUCGCCAGAACUCCAUACACUGCCUAUGGGAGGGAGAUACGCCUCUCGUUCGCCCCUCGGCCAUCCGGGCCCAUGUUGACGCCUUUUACAAAGCUCUAUUUACCCCCACCCCUCGGGGUGGGGCUAGUCUCGCCCCCGACAUUUGGUCGGGUGUGCAGUUGGUCUCUGCUGAGGCCAAUGCGGCAUUGGUUGCCCCCUUCGUCGAGGACGAGGUCCUCGCGGCUAUUAAGGGGAUGAACCCCUCCUCGGCCCCGGGGCCGGAUGGCCUGCCUGUAACGUUCUUCAAAACGUUCUGGCAGACCAUCAAGCCGGAGGUCAUGGCCCUGUUUGAGGAAUUCUACUCGGGCUCUAUGGAUCUUGGACGCCUUAACUACGGGAUCGUUACCCUCAUCCCCAAGGUUCCGGGCGCCUCCGAUAUCCGCCAUUUCCGUCCCAUCAUAGUGAUUAAUGUGAUAUUCCGAAUCCUGGCCAAAGGGUACGCCAAUAGGGUGACCCUGCUCGCUGACACGAUUACCCACCCGAACCAAUCUGCCUUCAUACAAGGCCGAUUUAUUCUGGAUGGGAUGUUGGUAUUCCACGAAGUCUUCCACAAAGUCCGGGUGAAACACCAUCGAGCAGUCUUCUUGAAGCUUGACUUCCACAAAGCAUACGACACUGUCCACUGGCCCUUCUUGCAAGAAGUGUUGCUCCGAAAGGGCUUUGACGACCGUUGGGUGACUCGCGUUAUGCAACUGGUCUCCUGCGGCCGGACCGCGGUGAACAUUAACGGUGACAUAGGGCCCUACUUCCCCACCCUCUGCGGGGUCCGUCAGGGUGACCCGUUCUCGCCGUUCCUGUUCAACAUGGUGGUGGAUGCCCUGGCCGCUAUCCUCGACAAGGCCAAGGAUGCCGGACAUAUUCGCGGCAUCGUACCCCAUCUAGUCGGAGGGGGAGGGGUCUCCCUCCUUCAAUAUGCGGAUGAUACCAUAAUAAUGGUUGAGGGGUUUGUUCAGGACAUAGCUAACCUGAAGUUCCUCCUGUGCUUCCAACAGAUGUCGGGACUAACCAUAAACUUCGAUAAGAGCGAAGUGAUGGUUCUUGGGUAA
rnacentral:rRNA from 1 species